rnacentral:rRNA from 1 species
CCUACGGGGGGCUGUAGUGGGGAAUAUUGGACAAUGGGGGGAACCCUGAUCCAGCCAUGCCGCGUGUGUGAAGAAGGCCCUCGGGUUGUAAAGCACUUUCAGUGAGGAAGAACGCCUGGUGGUUAAUACCCAUCAGGAAAGACAUCACUCACAGAAGAAGCACCGGCUAACUCCGUGCCAGCAGCCGCGGCAAUACGGAGGGUGCGAGCGUUAAUCGGAAUUACUGGGCGUAAAGCGCGCGUAGGUGGCUUGAUAAGCCGGUUGUGAAAGCCCCGGGCUCAACCUGGGAACGGCAUCCGGAACUGUCAAGCUAGAGUGCAGGAGAGGAAGGUAGAAUUCCCGGUGUAGCGGUGAAAUGCGUAGAGAUCGGGAGGGAUACCAGUGGCGAAGGCGGCCUUCUGGACUGACACUGACACUGAGGUGCGAAAGCGUGGGUAGCAAACAGGAUUAGAUACCCUGGUAGUC